CAGCCGCCGCGGGAAUACGGAGGGCGCGAGCGUUACCCGGAUUUACUGGGCGUAAAGGGCGUGUAGGCGGCCUGGGGCGUCCCAUGUGAAAGGCCACGGCUCAACCGUGGAGGAGCGUGGGAUACGCUCAGGCUAGAGGGUGGGAGAGGGUGGUGGAAUUCCCGGAGUAGCGGUGAAAUGCGCAGAUACCGGGAGGAACGCCGAUGGCGAAGGCAGCCACCUGGUCCACCUCUGACGCUGAGGCGCGAAAGCGUGGGGAGCAAACCGGAUUAGAUACCCCUGUAGUCCCUGUCUCUUAUAC
rnacentral:rRNA from 1 species